rnacentral:rRNA from 1 species
UACGUAGGGGGCAAGCGUUGUCCGGAAUUAUUGGGCGUAAAGCGCGUGUAGGCGGUCCGGUAAGUCGGUUGUGAAAGUCCAGGGCUCAACCCUGGAAAGCGGGUGGAUACUGCCGGGCUAGAAUCCGGAAGAGGCGAGUGGAAUUCCUGGUGUAGCGGUGAAAUGCGCAGAUAUCAGGAAGAACACCUAUGGCGAAGGCAGCACUCUGGGACGGUACUGACGCUGAGACGCGAAAGCGUGGGGAGCGAACAGG